GACGAACGCUGGCGGCGUGCUUAACACAUGCAAGUCGAACGGAAAGGCCCUGCUUUUGUGGGGUGCUCGAGUGGCGAACGGGUGAGUAACACGUGAGUAACCUGCCCUUGACUUUGGGAUAACUUCAGGAAACUGGGGCUAAUACCGGAUAGGAGCUCCUGCUGCAUGGUGGGGGUUGGAAAGUUUCGGCGUUUGGGGAUGGACUCGCGGCUUAUCAGCUUGUUGGUGGGGUAGUGGCUUACCAAGGCUUUGACGGGUAGCCGGCCUGAGAGGGUGACCGGCCACAUUGGGACUGAGAUACGGCCCAGACUCCUACGGGAGGAAGCAGUGGGGAAUAUUGCACAAUGGGCGGAAGCCUGAUGCAGCAACGCCGCGUGCGGGAUGACGGCCGUCGGGUUGUAAACCGCUUUCGCCUGUGACGAAGCGUGAGUGACGGUAAUGGGUAAAGAAGCAACGGCUAACUACGUG
rnacentral:rRNA from 1 species